rnacentral:rRNA from 1 species
GACGAACGCUGGCGGCGUGCUUAACACAUGCAAGUCGAACGGAAAGGCCUCUUUCGGGGGGUACUCGAGUGGCGAACGGGUGAGUAACACGUGAGUAACCUGCCCUUGACUUUGGGAUAACUUCAGGAAACUGGGGCUAAUACCGGCUAGGAGCUCCUGCUGCAUGGUGGGGGUUGGAAAGUUUCGGCGGUUGGGGAUGGACUCGCGGCUUAUCAGCUUGUUGGUGGGGUAGUGGCUUACCAAGGCUUUGACGGGUAGCCGGCCUGAGAGGGUGACCGGCCACAUUGGGACUGAGAUACGGCCCAGACUCCUACGGGAGGCAGCAGUGGGGAAUAUUGCACAAUGGGUGGAGGCCUGAUGCAGCAACGCCGUGUGCGGGAUGACGGCCUUCGGGUUGUAAACCGCUUUCGCUCAUGACGAAGCUUUGUGUGACGGUAGUGGGUAAAGAAGCACCGGCUAACUACGUG